rnacentral:rRNA from 1 species
GAUGAACGCUAGCGGGAGGCCUAACACAUGCAAGCCGAGCGGUAUUUGUUCUUCGGAACAGAUAUAGCGUCGCACGGGUGCGGAACACGUGUGCAACCUUCCUUUAUCUGUGGGAUAGCCUUUCGAAAGGAAGAUUAAUACCCCAUACUAUAUUUAUUUUCAUCACUUUAUAUUGAAAACUCCGGUGGGUAUAGAUGUGCACGCGCAAGAUUAGAUAGUUGGUGAGGUAACGGCUCACCAAGUCAAUGAUCUUUAGGGGGCCUGAGAGGGUGAUCCACCACACUGGUACUGAGACCCGGACCAGAAUCCUACGGGAGGCAGCAGUGAGGAAUAUUAGACAAUGGGUUAGCGCCUGAUCCAGCCAUCCCGCGUGAAGGACGACGGCCAUAUGGGUUGUAAACUUCUUUUGUAUAGGGAUAAACCUACUCUCGUGAGAGUAGCUGAAGGUACUAUACGAAUAAGCACCGGCUAACUCCGUG